CCUCUUUCCCUCAUCCACACAGCUCCCUCCCGAUUCCCCAUCGCCGCGCCGCCACCCACCACCUCUUCCCAUCCCUCUUCCCACAGCUCACCGCCGACCCUCCCCCACCCCUUCUCUCGCAUCACAGCUCCGACAGCUGUCAGAUCUGCUGCAUCCCCCACCCAUCCACCCCUGUCGCGACCCAACUCCCUGUCUCGUGCGACCCUCGCGCCGCGACCAACACCAUCGAUUCCGGCGACGUCCACCACCUCAUGGCACACCGGCGAGCUGGUCUUCGACCCCUCCAUCCUCAGAUCCGGCUGGAUCUGCCACUACUUGUCUCCGGCGCUCGCCCACAACCCCGCGCCCGUGGCUAGGGUUUCGGCUGCGGCGUCGCGUCCAUCACCGGCUCGUCUCCGGCGGCUCCUCCCCGUCGGACACCGCACCCUCUCCACCCUUGGAUGGCGCCCACUAGCUCGGUGUGCUCGCGCAUGUUGGGCUGUAUGGCGUCGACCCCGACCUCCUUUGAUGCGUCUCCGGCGCGGCCGUGCAUCCCGUGCAUCAUGUGACGGCCUCCUCCGCCACGCGACGGUGGUAGCCGACCUGCACUGCAACGGCUGCAUCGCCUACAAUCUUCUUCAUCAGUACAUCUCCCACCUGAUCGACGCCGAUGCCACGGUCCUCGAGCAGGACAGGGUUUGGCAGUUAAUCCAUGUUACAGGAGACCGAAGUUUUUAGCAGGAAUUACUUGGGUUCGGAAGCUGCCUUCAAUCGUUGCUAUUGGAGAUUAAAAUCAGCUAGUAGUGCAUUUUAUUUUAAGUCAUGUAACUCACUCAUUACAAAAAAACUUUUAGCGCUUUCUAGAUGUGCUCGGGAUGUUUUGAUAUUAGCUUUUGCUUUUUCAAAUCAGAUUAGAUUGUUGGAAAUCUGUAUUUUCAUGUAAACUAUUGCUAUUUUUUGAAGGAAUAUAGUUUGGUUGUCUUGCUGUAAA